rnacentral:rRNA from 1 species
GAGAGACCCUAUGAAGCUUUACUGCAGUUUCGUACUGGCACUAGGACUCAUUUGCGUAGGAUAGGUGGGACGCUUUGAAGUGUGGAUUUUGGUUCACAUGGAGCGGUUGGUGAAAUACCACCCUGAUGUGUUUUAGUGUCUAACCAGCGUUCUUGAACCAGGGCGUGGGACAGUGCGUGAUGGGCAGUUUGACUGGGGUGGUCGCCUCCCAAAUCGUACCGGAGGCGCGCGAAGGUUUGCUCAGGUUGGUCGGAAAUCAACCGGUGAGUGCAAUGGCAAAAGCAAGCCUGACUGCAAGGGGGACACCCCGAGCAGAGACGAAAGUCGGUCAUAGUGACCCGGUGGCUCCGCAUGGAAGGGCCAUCGCACACGGAUAAAAGCUACUCUAGGGAUAACAGGCUGAUGCUACCCAAGCGUCCAUAGCGACGGUAGUGUUUGGCACCUCGAUGUCGACUCAUCGCAUCCUGGGGCUGGAGCAGGUCCCAAGGGUAUGGCUGUUCGCCAUUUAAAGCGGUACGUGAGUUGGGUUAAUAACGUCGUGAGACAGUUAGGUCCCUAUCUACUGUGGGCGUUGGAUAUUUGAGCGAACUUGACCUUAGUACGAGAGGACCGGGUCGAACGAACCUCUGGUGUACCUGUUGUCGCGCCAGCGGCACCGCAGGGUAGCUAUGUUCGGAACAGAUAACCGCUGAAAGCAUCUAAGCGGGAAGCUGGUCGCAAGAUAAGAUAUCCCCAUGAGUUCAGUUCUAGACUAGGACAUUGAUAGGCUGUAUGUGUAAGUCCUGCGAGGGAUUUAGCUUAACAGUACUAAUCGAACCAUUGACUUUUUAUC